rnacentral:rRNA from 1 species
UACGGAUGGUGCAAACGUUGCUCGGAAUCAUUGGGCGUAAAGCGCUCGUAGGCGGCCAGUUAAGUCGGAUGUGAAAGCCCCGGGCUCAACUCGGGAAGUGCAUUCGAAACCGGCAGGCUUGAAUAUGGAAGAGGGUCGCGGAAUUCCCGGUGUAGAGGUGUAAUUCGUAGAUAUCGGGAGGAACACCAGUGGCGAAGGCGGCGACCUGGGCCAAUAUUGACGCUGAGGUGCGAAAGCGUGGGGAGCAAACAGG